AUGACUUUGAUCUGCGUCCUCAUCUGGACUGUCCUCUGCUGCUGCUUCACAGAGUCCAGAGGUCAGGUCACAUUGACUCAGCCUGCAGCAGUGAGAGCUGAUCUGGGAGGAUCUGUCAGCCUCCGAUGUAGAGCCAGCCCGAAUGUUUAUUAUUACAAAUCACACCACUAUUUAGGCUGGUAUCAACAAAAAGAUGGUCAAAUUCCGAAGCUGCUCAUUCUUCUAACUAGCUCUCGAGCAUCAGGGACUCCAAGUCGUUUCACAGGCAGUGGAUCAAACUCUGACUUCACUCUGACCAUCAGUGGAGUUCAGGCAGAAGAUUCUGCGGUUUACUACUGUAAGAGUGAACACUACAUCAAUGGCAAUCACCGUCUAUGGGUAAAAGGUGGCGUGUCCACCCUGGACAUGGAAAAUACCCGUCCCACCCUGACAGUGCUGCCCCCCUCCAGUGAGGAUCUGCACCAGGGGAAGGCCACCCUCGUGUGUCUGGCCAACAAGGGCUUCCCCUCAGACUGGAGUCUGUCCUGGAAGGUGGACGGCAGCAUUAACACCUUCACCUGGGAGGAGAACAAGAGCAGAGGAGUUAUGCAGAAGGACGGCCUCUACAGCUGGAGCAGCACCCUGAGGCUCCCUGCAGACUAG